GAUGAAGAACGUAGCGAAAUGCGAUAAGUAAUGUGAAUUGCAGAAUUCAGUGAAUCAUCGAAUCUUUGAACGCACCUUGCGCCUUUUGGUAUUCCGAAAGGCACACCUGUUUGAGCGUCAUGAAUACCUCAAUCUCCAUCUUUUCUUCGGAUUGAUGGGUGACUUGGAUGUUGAGCCCUGCUGGUAUGCUAUAUCAGCUGGCUUUAAACUUAAUAGCCGGCUCUGUACUGGAUCGGUUUGACUCGACGUGAUAAUAUUAUCGUUGAGGAUGCAUGUCUCAUGCAGCCGGAAAGUAUCAAAGCAGCUUCUAGCUUGCCUUUAGUGCACUUUUACAUUUUAGACCUCAGAUCAGGUGGGACUACCCGCUGAACUUAAGCAUAUCAAUAAGCGGAGGA
rnacentral:misc_RNA from 1 species